rnacentral:rRNA from 1 species
UUGGGAAUAUUGCACAAUGGGCGAAAGCCUGGUGCAGCGACGCCGCGUGAAGGAAGACGGCCUUCGGGUUGUAAACUUCUUUUUUGUGGGACGAUUGUGACGGUACCAUAAGAAUAAGGACCUGCUAACUACGUGCCAGCAGCAGCGGUAAUACGUAGGGUCCGAGCGUUGUCCGGAUUUAUUGGGCGUAAAGAGCAUGUAGGUGGAUUGGCGUGUCGAAUCUUAAAUCUUCAGGCUCAACCUGGAACUUGGAUUCGAAACUGCCUAUCUUUGAGGAUAGUGGGGGCAAGCGGAAUUAGCGGAGUAGCAGUGAAAUGCGUUGAUCUCGCUAAGAACACCAAUGGCGAAGGCAGCUUGCUAGACUUUUCCUGACACUGAGAUGCGAAAGCGUGGGGAGCGAACGGG